rnacentral:lncRNA from 1 species
GGAUGUGUCUAUCCCACUCGACCCCGUAGGCUUCUCAAUACCGCACGAGCGAACAUACGUCGCGUAGGCUAACUCCGGAGUGCCGGCUUGUAGGGAGCGACCCUCACAAGCAUGUGCGAAUGAGCACAAAUGGCAAGCAAGUAUAGUCCAAGUCUCAAAUAUCCAAUCCUCAUGUCUCUAACAUGGUAUGGUCACUAGCAUCCCGAAGAUCUAGUUUAAGUCACAAUGUGAAGUUUCAAUAUUUGCUACGCCUAGUGCCCCUUGAUGACACUUAGGCAAUUUGAUGUUCAACAUGUGUUCCAAAUCCCUCAAUGGCCCUAUCCGCUAGGUUCA